rnacentral:sRNA from 1 species
AGGCUGUUUAAUCGUAAUAGAAAGUUCCCCAGUAAUUUGUUGACUUUUGAUGAGUUUGCUUUGUGUAUGGUGAAUAUGUUGCUGAGAGGACCCUUUGUUAUUCAUGGUGUGGGAGUCUAUAAAUAAUAGCUAUACAGGGUGUUUGUUGUCGACUUGUGAAAUCUGCUAUUUGUUCUCCACAAUCCACAUUAUCUACUCAGU